rnacentral:rRNA from 1 species
UACGUAGGUGGCGAGCGUUGUCCGGAUUUACUGGGCGUAAAGAGCGCGCAGGCGGUCGUACAAGUCGCGUGUGAAAGCCCCCGGCUCAACUGGGGAGGGUCACGCGAUACUGUUCGACUCGAAGGCAGGAGAGGGAAGUGGAAUUCCCGGUGUAGUGGUGAAAUGCGUAGAUAUCAGGAGGAACACCGGUGGCGAAGGCGGUUCUCUGGGCCUUACCUGACGCUGAGGAGCGAAAGCGUGGGGAGCAAACAGG